UUAUCCCCAAAGACAAGGGUGCCAGCAGACACAACACCCUUCAGCUGCUGAGAUGAAGCAAUUGCCAAGCAAUUGUAUGUCUAACAAAAGAUAUCCUUGAGAAUGCAGGUGAAAUAUUCUUAGAUCAAGGAAAAAUAAGAAUCUGUCAUGAGAACACCUGCUGUAAAAGAAGGGAAAUGGAAGGCCUUCGAAUGGAAAGGAAACUUGGGACAUCAGUAUGGUAGAUAUCUGGGGAAAUGUAUAAUGGACUACUCUCCAUUUAAAAAACUGACAGUUUAAAAAUGGCAGUUACAAACUGACAGUUACGUGAUUGUGUCAAUUUGAGUAAGAAACACCCGACUAGAUUGCUUCAGCCUAGUUCUGGGCGUGCAAGACCCAUCUGGGGGAGGACUGUUGCCAGAAUGGAAUGAAAGGGGAACAGGGAAGGCUGGCUUCCAUUUUUUCAGAGGGGCUCCAGUCUUUGCCUUCACCUUGGAUGUCAUCCGGCUUCCAGUGCUGACCCUUUGGCCUCCUGAUACAGACAUGCACAGGACACUACAGUGAGCUCCAGGCCUUCGGCUGUAUCCUUCCAAUCUCCAGGACACAGAAAGACCUUUGGCUCUCUUCCACACCUGACUCUAGAUGGCCAUUGGCCCCCCACUCUUCUGCCUGUCUCCACAGCCUGUUCUCUGGGCCUGCACACAGCUGCCGUCCGGGUGCACCUGCCUGGGUCCCAGUCAGCAGGGAGCCGGACAUGAAAGACUGGGCAGUUCAAGAGGAACCCCAUAUGCGGGGAAAGCUAAAAAAUGACAUUGGAUCCCCACAGCCAGAGGCAGACUCAGGAAAGACAGAGAGGACCUGGAGCUUGCACCAAGGGCUGACCCUGGGCUCAUCACAGAGCCCACUCACAGGCAGUUAAACAGAACAACACAGUGACAAUGGGAACAGCGCACACCGUGGGCGAGGGGGAGAUCUGAUUCCUAGAAAUUAUGACAUUGAUGGGUUACAAUGUCCAGUUUUCAAUAAAAAUCUCA